AGAAAGAGAGACACCUGUAGACCUGCUUCACCACUUGCAAAGUUCCCCAUCUACUGUUGGGAACCAUUGGUGGGGGAGGCGGUUGUUGGUCCCAACGGCUGGAACCCGGGUCCUUUCACAUUGUAACAGGUAUGCUUAACCAGGUGUGCCAUCACCUGACCCUAUGAUAUAUAUUUAAAAAAAUGAAUGUUACUAAUUCUUUUUUUUUUAAUUUUUUAAUAUUUAUUUUAUUUAUUUAUUCCCUUUUGUUGCCCUUGUUGUUUUAUUGUUGUAGUUAGUAGUUAUUAUUGUUGUUGUCGUUGUUGGAUAGAACAGAGAGAAAUGGAGAGAGGGAGGGGAAGACAGAGAGGAGGAGAGAAAGAUAGACACCUGCAGACCUGCUUCACCGCCUGUGAAGCAACUCCCCUGCAGGUGGGGAGCCAGGGUUCGAACCGGGAUCCUUAUGCCGGUCCUUGUGCUUUGCACCAAUGUUACUAAUUCUUAACCAACAUGAACCAAGUACAACAUAGUAGAAUAAUAACUUUAUUUUUUGUGAAAAUUGCUCCAGUGCUGACAAGUAACUGUGUGGAGGUGGUUUGAAUACUGUUUUUUUUUUAACCUAUCAAAAUAUUUCUCCUUUGUCAAUAUCUUCAGUAAUAUAGUAUCUUGUUUGGUAAAUUCAAAUUUUUUGUUUUGUUUAGUUUUGGUGGUUGACUGGCUUAAUUGCUAUGAGCUAACUUUGUCCUUCUCUUGGCAUUCCCAGCAGGCAGAGCGGCACCACAGCACUGAGCCAAGAUGGAGCCUGGGCUGCAUCACAGCAAAGCAGGUCUCCUACUGUGAAACUGCUGGCCAAGGAAAAUGACCAGAAGUGUCAAAUCAUCUUGAACACACUUGCCAACUGGAAACAGCAGACAGGUACUCAGGGCAGACUCCACAACGGGAGUAAUAGAAACUUUCAAAAGAUACCCAGUGCUGGGGCUCAUGCGGGGUGACUCUCAGCCAGGAAGAUUUGGGAAAAAUUUUGAAACAGUAGAGAAAAGAAAUUAGAAAUUAUACAAGUUGUGAAAUAUACAAAGCAAUCAAGAGAGACCAGCUCAGGCUUAUGAAGCUGGGUUUGAUCCAAGGACCUCUGCGCUCUCCAGCAUGCAAAUCCUGUGUUCUUACAGGCUGAGAAAAUUCCCUGGCAACCUUGGACAGAAAUUUCUAGUAAUCGCCAAAUGAACGUGCAGAUUGUGCUAGAUGCCCCACUUUGCAAUUUACUGAUUAAAUGGCAACUGAAAGAAAACUUGCAAAAUAUACAGACUUUUAGAAAUUCCAUUGCCAAGAAGACAGACACAUCCUAUGAAACUAGAUGGGUAAUCUUCUAAAUUAUGAAGCAUGUGAGGCUAAGGCAAACUAAGGAACUGGCCACAGUUUGCAUGACCAGACAGAACUAGAGGGAGAUGGAAUAAAGUUUUGCACUGUAACAGGUCGUCAUGAAGCUAUAUGGGACAUGGUUCCCCUGGAAGGUUGAAGGAAAUAAUAGUUCCUAUUUCCCGUAUGGGUUCUGUCUACUAAGAUCAUCACCAAAUCAACGUUAGACCAUUUCUUUAAAGAUGGCAAAGCAAGUUGGUAAAACUGAGUAAGUCUUAAGGGUGUUAAGAGUUAAGUCACCUAUUUAAAUAAUUUAUACUGGAUAUAAAAUGUGUUGGGGAUGGAGGGUGGAUGGCACUUAUGGGAGGUCACUUGGAAAAGGAUAGGAAAAAGAGCUGUGACUUCCACAGACUUUAGUGGUUGCUUUCUCAAGGUGAGAUUGGGUUUCCUAGUUCAGCAAGGUAGAAGAAGCCCUUCUGUGUCAGUUGCGUUGCAGGGGGAGAGAGAAGAGACUGGAGUGGAGCGGGAACACACAUCUUUAUUCAUGUGGGCACCCCAGAAAUGGGUGAGUGCAGAGUGGUUCAGGCCACGUGGAGCUAGCAAAAUGGCCGCCUCCCACGACACCUAGAAGCCCUUCUCUGGGUUGUGGAAGAGAGGAAAAAGGCAAGAGAGAGAGAAAGGCGGAAGCAGGAGAGCUUUCAUGGGAGAAAUUCUGAAAGUGGCAAGUCGGGACAGGGCUGGCUAGAAAAAGGGGGUGGAGAAAACAAAGCACUCUGGGCAGCUAGGGUUUCAGCUCCCUUGGCAAUGGGCGAUACCCUGAGGGCAUCUGCAGUUACCCAAUACUUCUGAAGGGACACUUCCCUGUAUACUUGCACACGUGCUUCGCAAAAGGGCAACUUUCCUUUGGUCUCCAGAUUUCUUUCUAUGUCAUAAUAAUACUUAUGCCAAAGGGACAUAUUUAUAGGUGGGAAUUUUUAUUCCACACAAAGGCAAAUUGCUCUCAUGUCUUAGAGUCAUAACUGAGGAUAGGUGUUGGUGGGGGACCACCUAGUUUAUUUAUCUUUUAUAAAGAGAAUGCCAUUUGAGGGCCGGGUGGUGACAUGCCUGAUUGUUCACACAUAUCACUAUGCGCAAGGACUCGGGUUCAAGUCCCUGUCCCACACCUGCAGGGGGAAAGCUUCAUGAGUGUUGAAGCAGGUUUCCAGGUGUCUAUCUUUCUCUUUCCCUUUCUAUCUCCCCCUUCCCUUUCAGUUUCUCCCUGACUCAUCAAAUAAAAAGAAAGAAAGAAAGAAAGAAAGAAAGAAAGAAAGAAAGAAAGAAGAGAGAGAGAAAGAGAGAGAAAGAGCACCAUUUGAAACUACCAGAAUAGAAUGAAGACAGACUUCAAUCUGCGUUAAUGGGAAGACGGUGAAUUUAAAUGUGGGUGUUACAAACUGCUCACCACUAAAAAAGGCUUAUGGAAGGGGCAAAAGCUGGCCUGUGAAAAGCAGAUCAACUCAAGCUCCAACAAAUCUGAGAAGAUUAUGGGGCUUGUGUUUCAAAAAUACGUCUCAUUCCCAGGUGGGCGUUCAGAGAGAGUGACCACUUGGGGAGAAGAGGCCCAACCACACAGCCAUCUGUUUGUCAUAAAGUAUUUGUCGUUAGACUAGCCAGAGCUGGCAAAGGUGAUGUCACGAGGACUGAAUCACAGAGCUAAUGCCUAUAAAAGUUUGAAAUAGGGAGUCCGGCGGUAGAGCACUGGGUUAAACGCACGUGGUGCAAAGCACAAGGACCGGCAUAAGGAUCCUGGUUCCAGCCCCCGGCUCCCCACCUGCAGGGGAGUCGCUUCACAGGCGGUGAAGCAGGUCUGCAGGUGUCUUUCUCUC